rnacentral:rRNA from 1 species
AUUGACCGCUGGCGGCAGGCCUAACACAUGCAAGUCGAGCGUAGCGGCGGCCGGGUGCGUAAUGCCUAGGAAUCUGCCUGGUAGUGGGGUGUAACUUCCGGAACCGGGCGCUAAUACCGCAAAAUCUCAGAUUCGCCUAGGUCGGAGUAGCUAGUUGGUGGGUUAAAGGCCUACCACGGCGACGAUCCGUAACUGGUCUGAGAGGAUGAUCAGUCACACUGGAACUGAGACACGGUCCAGACUCCUACGGGAGGCAGCAGUGGGGAAUAUUGGACAAUGGGCGAAAGCCUGAUCCAGCCAUGCCGCGUGGGUGAAGAAGGUCUUCGGAUUGUAAAGCACUUUAAGUUGGGAGGCGGUACCAACAGAAUAAGCACCGGCUAACUUCGUGCCAGCAGCCGCGGUAAUAC